ensembl:lncRNA
CAGACCUGUUUCCCACCAGCAAGGAUGAAGGAGCCAGCUCCACACAAUACUUGGCAAGCUUUCUGAAGGAAAUGAGAAUGGCUCCAUCCAUCCAGCUGAGAGGACACUUCCUGUCUCAGAUGACACUGCAUAGAUCAGGUUGGAGCAGAGAAACAGUUCCUGGCGUCAGAGGUCAUUUCGUAUACAUCAGGAGAAGAGGACACUUUCUGAAUUCAGAUUUUGAACAUGAGAAUGUGGACUAACGGAGGUGAGGAUUGGACCACCAACUUUCUGAUCAGCAGAUAACCUGUCUGCCUCCCGAGUCCUGGCAGUGGAGGAUUAAUAGAAUAGAAUAGAAUUGAAUAGAAUAGAAUAGAAUAGAAUUCAACUUUAUUGUCAUUGCACAUGCACAGGUACAGGGCAACGAAAUGCAGUUUGCAUCCAUCCAGAAGUGCUUUAGUGAUAUAGAUAUAUUACAAUAUAUAUUAGCAAUAAUAUAGAUAUGUGAGUAUAUUACAGAAAUGGGUCUAUUAUGGUAUGUUAUAAUGUACACGGU